rnacentral:rRNA from 1 species
GAUGAACGCUGGCGGCGUGCCUAAUACAUGCAAGUCGAGCGAACGGACGAGAAGCUUGCUUCUCUGAUGUUAGCGGCGGACGGGUGAGUAACACGUGGAUAACCUACCUAUAAGACUGGGAUAACUUCGGGAAACCGGAGCUAAUACCGGAUGAUAUUUUGAACCGCAUGGUUCAAAAGUGAAAGACGGUCUUGCUGUCACUUAUAGAUGGAUCCGCGCUGCAUUAGCUAGUUGGUAAGGUAACGGCUUACCAAGGCAACGAUGCGUAGCCGACCUGAGAGGGUGAUCGGCCACACUAGAACUGAGACACGGUCCAGACUCCUACGGGAGGCAGCAGUAGGGAAUCUUCCGCAAUGGGCGAAAGCCUGACGGAGCAACGCCGCGUGAGUGAUGAAGGUCUUCGGAUCGUAAAACUCUGUUUUUAGGGAAGAACAUAUGUGUAAGGAACUGUGCACAUCUUGACGGUACCUAAUCAGAAAGCCACGGCUAACUACGUG